UUCUGUUCUGUACUGUACUGUACUGUCGUACUCCAAAUUUUUAAACUUUGUAGUACUUACAUCAUAAUUAGUACAGGUCCCCGAGAAAACAGGACCUCUACUCAAUAUUGUUAAGGUGUCAAUUCAAGUAUCGAACUAUCCAUACGUAAACACAACAACUAUGUGUAAACGCGGCCUCAUGAACUUUGUAUAUAUAUACACUUGGAUUUCAAUAAAACUGUGUAGUCGCAUGCUAGCUGUUCUCGGUGUCACUUCAUUUCGAUCACAUAUCACAACAAAUAUCGAAUAAAAAAAAAUAUUUUAAAAUUAAAUGCUACAUUACACGAACAUUUGUUAUAUCUUGACUGAAAACUGCGUGAUUUGACUUCCUGAAUUAGAGAUAGCGGGUUUCUCUCGACCUCAAUUAAUAGUGUAUCUCGGGCCUGAUAGCCUCUAAUUUCAAUCGCAAUCCCAAUUCCAAUCGAAUCGCAAUCAGAAUCCCACUCGGAAUUCCAAUCGAAUCGCAAUCCCAAUCAUAAUCCUAAUCGAAACGCAAUACCAAUCGAAUCCCAAUCUUUCGAAUCCUAAUCGAAUCGCAAUCCCAAUCAGAAUCCCAAUCGAAUCCCAAACGAAUCCCAAUCCCAGUCGAUUCGCAAACGAAUACCAAUCUUAAUCGAAUCGCAAACUGUUAAAGUGAGCAACCUCUGCUUAACUAUUGCUUAUUCGGAUGUCACUUUGACAUUUGGACUUUGUUCAUUGGGAACGCAUUUCUCUCUUUUAGGUUGGCAGUCAUGCCGUUAAUCUUGAUUCAUUGAACUUAUUCUUUCCUGUAAUUUUGUAGCGACAAGUCGCAUAUCGUUUUUGCUUCAAUAAAUACAUUUUUACAAACAAAUCCCCAUCCCAAUCGAAUCGCAAUCAAAUUCCAAACGCAAAGGAAUCUUUUAGGGAUUCAAAUCCUACAAACGGGAUCCGAUCCGAUCGAAUCUUUCUAGAGAUUGAAUCUUCGAAUCUUCCGAAUCCUGAAUCUCCAAACACUAACACACACGCACAUUCACACCCAUGCGCAGAUGGUUCAGCAUAUCUGUGUAAUCUACACUAUGAUAUAGAAAUGAUAACCACACCGUUUGGUUGUCUUCUGUCUAACGCCCGUUUAUUUCUCUUUCAAGCGGUUUGUCGCUUUGACAGAUUGGCGUUGUCGAAGCUGCCUGAACCUGCACGUCACUGAUUGAAGUGCAGGGCUGCCUAACACCACAUACACCAUACGAAAGCAAAAGCUUAGUGUAACAAAGUCAUGCUUAAUGCUUAGCACGUUCAGUUCGAUGGCAGGCCCCAGGGACUGCGAGACUAUCCAGUAUGCCGGUUUCACAUUCUGUUGUAUAUUUCGGGACAAUCCGCGUGCUUUAUUGUUGCGUUCACAAGACAAAGUGAGGCUCAAAGUGGGUUUAUUAUACAGGUGGGCUUAUCCCGAACAAAUUGACAGCCGUACUGUAGAAAAAUGAAAACGAAAUGACAGGAGGGGAUUCGAUCAUUUGUUGAUGUAUGCGUGUGAACUCCAAUGGCUAUUUUGGAUUAUGUGUCGUAGUGUGGGUGAAAAACUACGUAUCACAAUCGAAUCCCCUCCUGUCAUUCGUUCGUCCAAUAUGGCCUUCCCGCCAAACCUAUAAGCCCACCUAGUCCCUAUACCCACUUUGGUGAGGCUAACACUGCUUCUAGACGACCAACUUUUGUACAGCGACAAUUUUUGGCGACAAUUUUUUGACAGGUCUUUGUUCUAAACCUGCUGUCAAAACCUAUCGUUUUUAGUACACAUCCGGCAGCCCGCGAGUGUCGCAGAGUUGUGAAAAUUUCACAAAAUCUCUAUUCAUUUUUUGCGCGUAACGUCAGUUUGGAAAAGUUGCCUGUGGUUGUGCCGAACAAUAUGAAUAAAUAUACUGUAAGUACACGAAACAAACAAUCAAAACAAUAUCAAUAAGUGGACUUUGUUUAUUUACUCGUUUGUUUCGUUUUUAGGGUGCAAACAUGUCUCAGGAAGACUCUUUGUUCUUCAUUCAGCAAGUACAAAUGCGUGAAUGCUUAUGGAACCGACGUGAUAUACACUAUAAAAAUAAAAUAAAACAGGCCGACGCAUGGGCUUCAAUUGGAGAAUUAAUGGGAAAAGAUCCAUUUGAGCUGCGGCAGAAGUGGCAAUCUCUGCAAAGCUCGUUCCGACACUUCAAGGGUGUUUACAAAAGCAGCGAACAAACGGGAUCUGCUGCGCAACCCAAUAGAAAAAAAUGGUUUGCAUAUGAUGCAAUGAGUUUCAUGUCGGUGACCAACGAAUGUGGAACUACAGUAGAUACGUUGGUAUGUAUAUAAAAUCAAUCUGGUAUUUAUUUUAAAAAAGAAGGCAGAUCUAAGCAGAGAGAGCUUUUUCAUAGGUUAACGCAAAGUCCAUAUAAUACAGAGGUCGAUGCAUAGCUCGAUUUUGGUCCACCAUUUUGAAAGCUUAUUUUUGACAGUUAGAUGAAAAAGCGUUCACAAACGAUUCCAAACAACCAUACACUUUUUAGGGCUAAUUGUGCAUUUUGUGCUCAAGACUUAGUUUAACUAUACAUUUCUUUCUCAUGAGUAGUUUUUUCAGUAAUUCAUCACUUAAAAAUGACCACAAUCUGAAAUCUGGCCUCUUAGCUUUGACCCUCUUGAGCUGCACAAGAUUUCGUCGUAAUUUCGGGCGCUGAUCUUGUUGUAAUUGAUAAUUUCACUAUAAUUAUAUCUUUUCUUGAUAUUCGUCAACUUUUUAAAGUACAAUAUUACAAACAAACGAUGUAAAAAUGGCCGAAAAUGCUUUCAGACCACUGCUUGCACAACAACUAAAACCUCAAUGUAUGCUACGAUGAAACCAUUGAAGCUUUUUCAUCCAGCUGUCAAAACUUUCCCACGCUUUUUGAUCAAAUGUUCUGGACGACUCGACCUCUGUAUUAUAUAGACUUUGGGUUAACGGAUAGGCUGAAUCGUUCUAGAUAUGCUCAUACUUUUACACUUACAUUUCACGGUGUGAUGUUAUCCUUUCUCCCUCUCCAUUCGUCGUAACUAAGCAGGCGGAUUAGUAGUAUUUGCUACGGGUAAACGAUCCGAAUGAGGCUAUGUCCGAAAUCACGACGGGUAUGUUCUUAAGGCGAGGAAUCGUUUAUCUUAUUGGUAUACACUUGCUGUAUGUUGUGAAUUUAUAUAUUUAUUUUAUUACUCAAGUAGGGACAGUCCAGCAAAGAGGCGUAAGGGAAUAGUAGCCCGUGUUGGUACUAUGAUAUCUAUUGAACGCACGGCACGUUAUGAAAAAUAUUACAACUCAGAAUAAAUUCCAAUAAACCCCAAAAAGAUCCUUCGAAAA